CCCUGUUGAUAGGGACGAAGGGCGAAGGGUUAAUAGCCCCUAGCCUGACGGUACCUUUCGAGGAAGCCCCGGCUAACUACGUGCCAGCAGCCGCGGUAAUACGUAGGGGGCGAGCGUUGUCCGGAAUUAUUGGGCGUAAAGAGCGUGUAGGCGGUUCGGUAAGUCUGCCGUGAAAACCUGAGGCUCAACCUCGGGCGUGCGGUGGAUACUGCCGGGCUAGAGGACGGUAGAGGCGAGUGGAAUUCCCGGUGUAGCGGUGAAAUGCGCAGAUAUCGGGAGGAACACCAGUAGCGAAGGCGGCUCGCUGGGCCGUUCCUGACGCUGAGACGCGAAAGCUAGGGGAGCGAACAGGAUUAGAUACCCUGGUAGUCCUAGCCGUAAACGAUGGACACUAGGUGUGGGGGGAGUCGAAUCCCUCUGUGCCGCAGUUAACGCGUUAAGUGUCCCGCCUGGGGAGUACGGCCGCAAGGCUAAAACUCAAAAGAAUUGACGGGGGCCCGCACAAGCAGCGGAGCAUGUUCUUUAAUUCGAUGCAACGCGAAGAACCUUACCUGGACUUGACAUGGUGCUGCAAGCGCACGGAAACGUGUGACCUUCGAGGGUGCACCACAGAUGCUGCA
rnacentral:rRNA from 1 species